GGGGGCAACGGCAAUAAUAAUCAUUAAUGACUAUCAUUUGCCACAUUCCUAUGAAGGGCCAUGCACUAUUCCCAACAUACAAAUGAGGAAAGUGACACUUUGAAGGGUCAAGCAACUUGCCCGGGGUCACACAACAAAAGGAGGUGCCGAAGCCUUGAUGCAGACGUGUGAGGCUAAACCGUGCCCGGAACCAGCCCUAGGAGGUGGACACAAUGGACAGUUGUUUGCUAGUGCAGCAGAUCCGUUUACCAAGGGAGAGAGGAGACCGAGCAAGAGUGACUGAUGGGCCAUCGAGAGGAGGGUAGACAUGGGAGCAAGCCACCGAGACCUCCCCUUCCUGUCUUUUGGC